AGGACUGUGCCCCAGGCUUCAGUGCAGAAUAAAUUACUUUACACUGAGGGAAGGAUCACUAGCAUGUCACUCCCCAACCUUCUGUGGGCACUCACAGCCCUCACCUACCUUGGACCUGGUACGGCAGAGACAGUCACUCAGACCCCAUCAGUGAUAUCUAUGCAGGAGGGGAAGGCUGUAACUCUCAACUGCAAGUAUUCCACCAGUGCCACUGCUUAUUAUUUGCACUGGUACAAACAGUCUCCUAGUGGGGAAAUGAUUUUCCUAAUUUAUCAGGAUUCUUACAGCACAAAGAAUGCAAGACAAGAACGAUAUUCUGUGAACUUCCAGAGAGCAGACAGCUCCAUCAGUCUAAAGAUCUCUGACUUAAAGCUGGAGGAUUCCUCCGUGUAUUUCUGUGCUCUGGAUGAGCCACAGUAA